rnacentral:rRNA from 1 species
AGAGUUUGAUCCUGGCUCAGGACGAACGCUGGCGGCGUGCCUAAUACAUGCAAGUCGAACGCUUUUUCUUUCACCGGAGCUUGCUCCACCGAAAGAAAAAGAGUGGCGAACGGGUGAGUAACACGUGGGUAACCUGCCCAUCAGAAGGGGAUAACACUUGGAAACAGGUGCUAAUACCGUAUAACACUAUUUUCCGCAUGGAAGAAAGUUGAAAGGCGCUUUUGCGUCACUGAUGGAUGGACCCGCGGUGCAUUAGCUAGUUGGUGAGGUAACGGCUCACCAAGGCAACGAUGCAUAGCCGACCUGAGAGGGUGAUCGGCCACACUGGGACUGAGACACGGCCCAGACUCCUACGGGAGGCAGCAGUAGGGAAUCUUCGGCAAUGGACGAAAGUCUGACCGAGCAACGCCGCGUGAGUGAAGAAGGUUUUCGGAUCGUAAAACUCUGUUGUUAGAGAAGAACAAGGAUGAGAGUAAAACGUUCAUCCCUUGACGGUAUCUAACCAGAAAGCCACGGCUAACUACGUGCCAGCAGCCGCGGUAAUACGUAGGUGGCAAGCGUUGUCCGGAUUUAUUGGGCGUAAAGCGAGCGCAGGCGGUUUCUUAAGUCUGAUGUGAAAGCCCCCGGCUCAACCGGGGAGGGUCAUUGGAAACUGGGAGACUUGAGUGCAGAAGAGGAGAGUGGAAUUCCAUGUGUAGCGGUGAAAUGCGUAGAUAUAUGGAGGAACACCAGUGGCGAAGGCGGCUCUCUGGUCUGUAACUGACGCUGAGGCUCGAAAGCGUGGGGAGCGAACAGGAUUAGAUACCCUGGUAGUCCACGCCGUAAAC